ACUCCUACGGGAGGCAGCAGUGGGGAAUAUUGGACAAUGGGCGCAAGCCUGAUCCAGCAAUGCCGCGUGUGUGAAGAAGGCCUUCGGGUUGUAAAGCACUUUUAUCAGGAGCGAAAUACUACCGGCUAAUAUCCGGUGGGGCUGACGGUACCUGAGGAAUAAGCACCGGCUAACUUCGUGCCAGCAGCCGCGGUAAUACGAAGGGUGCAAGCGUUAAUCGGAAUUACUGGGCGUAAAGCGUGCGUAGGCGGUUUGUUAAGUCUGCUGUGAAAUCCCCGGGCUCAACCUGGGAAUGGCAGUGGAUACUGGCAAGCUAGAGUGUGUCAGAGGAUGGUGGAAUUCCCGGUGUAGCGGUGAAAUGCGUAGAGAUCGGGAGGAACAUCAGUGGCGAAGGCGGCCAUCUGGGACAACACUGACGCUGAGGCACGAAAGCUGGGGGAGCAAACGGGAUUAGAUACCCCAGUAGUCC
rnacentral:rRNA from 1 species